rnacentral:rRNA from 1 species
UACCAGCACCCCGAGUGGUCGGGACGAUUAUUGGGCCUAAAGCAUCCGUAGCCGGUUUUACAAGUCCUCCGUUAAAUCCAGCUGCUUAACAGAUGGGCUGCGGAGGAUACUAUAAGACUAGGAGGCAGGAGAGGCAAGCGGUACUCAAUGGGUAGGGGUAAAAUCCGUUGAUCCAUUGAAGACCACCAGUGGCGAAGGCGGCUUGCCAGAAUGCGCUCGACGGUGAGGGAUGAAAGCUGGGGGAGCAAACCGG